AAUGCCGCCCACUGCCGGGGGAGACGGACAGACAGACGGACAGGGGGAGACGGCGGGGACAGACACACACACAGACAGACGGACGGACAGACAGGGGGACACGGUGCCGUGGGUGCCCAUCCGCAGCCACAGCGCAGCCAGGGGGGCUCAAGGGGGGCACAGGGAGGGGCACGAGGGUGGGCACGGGGGUACCCAGGCCAUGAGGGCACAGGGACACGCGGGUACAGCCUCAGGGGGACCGCGGGUGUGGCCUCUGGGGACAGGGACACCGGGGAUGCUCCAGGGGACAACCAGUGGGGACAACCCAGGGGACCGCGAGGUUCGGGGGCAAUGUGGGGGGUGGGAUCUCAGGGCACUGCGGGGACACAGUGACAGCGACCCUGGGGACAUCCUUGGGGACAGAGAGCUUGGCUGGGGACACUGAGGGGGAUGGGGCAGGAGGGGGAGCCCAGGGUGCUGCAGUGGGUGCCCCCUUUGUGUCCCCAUGUCCUGCUCAGGGGAUCCUUCCCCGUGUCCCCAUGUCCCCUGUGUCCCCCUGUCCCUGUGUCCCCAUGAAUCCCGUGUCCCCGUGUCCCCCUGUCCCCAUAUCCCCAUGUGCUCCAUGUCCCCUUAUCCCCCUGUCCUCUGGGUCUCCAUAUCCCUCAGUGUUGUCCCCAUCCCUGACUCAGGGAAUCCCUCCCUGUGUCCCCAUGUCCCCCGUGUCCCCCGUGUCCCCUGUCCCCUCACAGGCCCAUCCCAGGUGCAGCCCAGGUACUCCAGCUGUCCCCAUGUCCUCACAUCCCCAUGUUGCCGUGUCCCCCCAUGUCCCCUCACGGGUCCAUCCCAGGUGUAGCCCAGGUACUCCAGCUGCUCACAUGUCCCCCUGUGUCCCCCCAUGUCCCCAUGUCCCUGUGUCCCCCUGUGUUCCCUGUCCCCACUCACAGGCCUGUUCCAGGUGUGGCCCAGGUACUGCAGCCUCCCCCAUGUUCCUGUGUUCCCUCUGUGUCCCCAUGUCCCCCCUGUCCCCCUGUCCCAACUCAUGGGUCCAUCCCAGGUGUAGCCCAGGUACUGCAGCCACUCCCAUGUCCCUGUGUCCCCUCUGUGUCCCCAUGUCCCCCCGUCCCCCCCUGUCCCCACUCACGGGUCCGUCCCAGGUGUAGCCCAGGUACUGCAGCCUCCCCCAUGUCCCUGUGUCCCCCCCGUGUCCCCUCCUGUCCCCUGUCCCCACUCACAGGUCCAUCCCAGGUGCAGCCCAGGUACUGCAGCCUCCCCCAUGUCCCUGUGUCCCCUCUGUGUCCCCAUGUCCCCCCUGUCCCCCCAUGUCCCCACUCACGGGUCCGUCCCAGGUGUAGCCCAGGUACUGCAGCCUCCCCGCGCUCUCCAGCGCCUGCAGCUGUACCCAGUUGUGACACCCGGACACCGCGUCCUUCUUCACCUCCCCUGGGGACACGGGUGACACAGAGAGCAGACGUGCUCGAAGCCGGACGAGUCCAGCGCUUGUCCUUUGGAGCGCGAGUAGAGCCCGAACCACAUGGAGUGGAGAUCGGUCCGGAACGCCUCAGCCGAGGGCUCCUCCGGCGGCUCCGCCUCAGCCCGGCCCGUCUGCGGCUCGUAAUUGUCCAGCAGGGCCAGCAGCGCCGAG